UGCUUUCUUAUAGAAUCCAGGAGCACCAGC
rnacentral:piRNA from 1 species